rnacentral:rRNA from 1 species
AUUGAACGCUGGCGGAAUGCUUUACACAUGCAAGUCGAGCGGCAGCGCGGGGGCAACCCUGGCGGCGAGCGGCGAACGGGUGAGGAAUACAUCGGAACGUACCCCGGAGUGGGGGAUAACGCCGCGAAAGCGGCGCUAAUACCGCAUAUGCUCUGAGGAGGAAAGUGGGGGACCUGCAAGGGCCUCACGCUCUGGGAGCGGCCGAUGUCCGAUUAGCUAGUUGGUGGGGGUAAAGGCCCGCCAAGGCGACGAUCGGUAGCUGGUCUGAGAGGAUGAUCAGCCACACUGGGACUGAGACACGGCCCAGACUCCUACGGGAGCAGCAGUGGGGAAUUUUGGACAAUGGGGGCAACCCUGAUCCAGCCAUGCCGCGUGCGGGAAGAAGG